rnacentral:rRNA from 1 species
AAUCGACAUGACUCUCGGCAACGGAUAUCUCGGCUCUCGCAUCGAUGAAGAACGUAGCGAAAUGCGAUACCUGGUGUGAAUUGCAGAAUCCCGCGAACCAUCGAGUCUUUGAACGCAAGUUGCGCCCGAGGCCUUUCGGCUGAGGGCACGUCUGCCUGGGCGUCACGC